rnacentral:rRNA from 1 species
AGUGAACGCUGGCGGCGUGCCUAAUACAUGCAAGUCGAACGGAGUGGCGCACGGGCGAGUAAUGUAUAUCUAAUCUGCCCUACACUAGAGGACAACAGUUGGAAACGACUGCUAAUACUCUAUAGUGUAGGAUGAGGCUCUAUUGUAUCAGCUAGUUGGUGAGGUAAUGGAGCACCAAGGCGAUGACGCAUAACUGGUCUGAGAGGAUGAUCAGUAACACGGGAAAUGAGACACGGUCGAGACUCCUACGGGAGGCAGUAGUAGGGAAUAUUGCUCAAUGGGGGAGUCCCUGAAGCAUAAACGCCGCGUGGAGGAUGACACUUUUCGGAGCGUAAACUCCUUUUGUUAGGGAAGCGUUACCUAACGAAUAAGCACCGGCUAACUCCGUGCCAGCAGCCGCGGUAAUAC